UCAGAUGGGAGCAGUCAGCUGGCUCUAAAAGAACCUUCUACCAAUGUUGUCCUAGCUGAUCAUGUUACCACAAAAAAAUGGGAGCAAAUUGUUGAUUUCGAUGACCACCUUGAUGAUAUCAGCAAGGAUUGGUUGAACCCAGACCUCCUUGACUGAAAUAAUUACAUGAUUUGAUCUUUUUUUUUACUUUAUUAUUGAAACUUGCUAGAAGUGGAGGUGCCGAGGCUUGUCCUGCUGGAUCAUGGACUUUGCUUAGCAUGGAUUGUGUUUUAAUGUAAACAAGUGAUUUUGUAACAAUUAUAGUAGUUGAAAAUGAUAAGAUUGACAUUGAGU